UACGUAGGGUGCAAGCGUUAAUCGGAAUUACUGGGCGUAAAGCGAGCGCAGGCGGUUAUGUAAGACAGAUGUGAAAUCCCAGGGCUUAACCUUGGAACUGCAUUUGUGACUGCAUGGCUAGAGUGUGUCAGAGGGGGGUGGAACUCCACGUGUAGCAGUGAAAUGCGUAGAUAUCGAGAGGAACACCUGCGGCGAAGGCGGGUUGCUGGGCUGAUACUGACGCUGAGGCGCGAAAGCCAGGGGAGCGAACGGG
rnacentral:rRNA from 1 species